rnacentral:tRNA from 1 species
GGGCGGUUAGCUCAGGGGUAGAGCACGACAUUCACACUGUCGGGGUCGCAGGUUCGAAACCUGCACCGCCCACCA